UACGUAGGGUGCAAGCGUUGUCCGGAAUUAUUGGGCGUAAAGAGCUCGUAGGCGGCUUUCUAAGUCAGGGGUGAAAUCCGGCAGCUCAACUGUCGCAGUGCCUUUGAUACUGGAGAGCUCGAGGGUGGUAGGGGUCUGUGGAACUUCCGGUGGAGCGGUGAAAUGCGUAGAGAUCGGAAAGAACACCAACGGCGAAAGCACUCUGCUGGGCCGACACUGACACUGAGAGACGAAAGCUAGGGGAGCGAAUGGG
rnacentral:rRNA from 1 species